rfam:Gossypium raimondii Chr01_contig_6, whole genome shotgun sequence.
AAUAGGAAAAUGACAAAUCAAAUUUUUCCUUUUGAUUUUCAGCUUUUUUCUCUUGGAAAAAAUUAAAUCCAACUAAAAAUGCUAAAAAUCAUGAAGAUAAAUCUGAUGUGUCAUUCUCAUAUU